GACGAACGCUGGCGGCGCGCUUAACACAUGCAAGUCGAGCGAUGAAACUUUAACAGAACCCUUCGGGGCGAAGAUAAAGUGGAUUAGCGGCGGACGGUUGAGUAACCCGUGAGUAACCUGCCUUAGACAUUGCUAUAGCUUCUGGAAGCCAGGAUUAAUUCCAAAUAAAAUCAUAAUGACACAUUUCAUAACGAUCAAAACUCCGGGGGUCUAAGAUGGACUCGCGUCCCAUUAUCUCUUUGGUAGAGUAAAAGCAUACCAAGGCGACGAUGGGUAGCCGGCCUGAGAGGGUGAACGGCCACAUUGGAAAUGAGAAACGGUCCAAACUCCUACGGGAGGCAGGAGUGGGGAAUAUUGCACAAUGGAGGAAGCUCUGAUGCAGCGACGCCGCGUGAACGAAGAAGGCUUUCGAGUCGUAAAGUUCUUUUAUAUGGGAAGAUAGUGACGGUACCAUAAGAAAAAGCCCCGGCUAACUACGUG
rnacentral:rRNA from 1 species